ensembl:misc_RNA Metazoa_SRP Metazoan signal recognition particle RNA
GCCAGGUGUAGUGGGGCGCACCUGUAGUCCCAGCUACUAGGGAGGCUGAGGCAGGAGGAUCACUUGAGCCUGGGAGGUUGGGCUGCAGUGGGUCAUAAUCAUCAUAAUCAUGCCACUGUACUCCAGCCUGGGCGACAGAGUGAGACCCUGUCUCCA